rnacentral:rRNA from 1 species
GUCUGUGUGAAGUUACAUGGAGUCUAGCCUGCCCGUUGAAAUUAGUUUGAAAGGCCGCGGUAUAUUAACUGUGCAAAGGUAGCAUAAUCAUUAGUUUUUUAAUUGAAGGCUUGUAUGAAGGGUUGGACAAAGAAAAGUCUGUCUUUAUUUUUAGGCUUGAAUUUAACUUUUAAGUGAAAAGGCUUAAAUGGAUUUAAGGGACGAUAAGACCCUAUAAAUCUUUAUAAUAAUUUGGUUUAAGUUGGAGUUUAAUUAAGUAAUAAUGUUCAAUAAGGUAAAUUUUAUUUUGUUGGGGCGAUGAGAAUAUAUAGGUAACUGUUCUAGUGUUUAAUCAGAGUUGUUUGUGGAUUAUUGAAGAUCCUUUAUUAAGAUUUAAAGUUUAAGUUACUUUAGGGAUAACAGCGUUAUUUUUUUUGAGAGUUCAUAUCGAAAAAAAAGUUUGCGACCUCGAUGUUGAAUUAAAAUUUCUCUGUGGUGUAGUAGUUA